ensembl:lncRNA
AUAAAUUAGAAUGUUGUGAAAAAGUUAAUUUAUUUCAGUAAUUCAACUCAAAUUUUGAAACUUGUGUAUUAAAUAAAUUCAAUGCACACAGACUGAUGUAGUUUAAGUCUUUGGUUCUUUUAAUUGUGAUGAUUUUGACUCACAUUUAAUCAAAACCCAUUAAUUCACUCAACAAAGUAGAAUACUUCAUAAGACCAAUAAAAAAAUUUUUUUAAAUUUUUUUAGUGAAUUGUUGGCCUUCUGGAAAGUAUGUUCAUUUACUGUACAUGUACUCAAUACUUGGUAGGGGCUCCUUUUGCUUUGAUUACUGCCUGAAUUCGGCGUGGCAUGGAGGUAAUCAGUUUGUGGCACUGCUGAGGUGGUAUGGAAGCAAUACCCCAUAGAUUCUCUCUGGGGUUCAGGUCUGGUGAGUUUGCUGGCCAGUCAAGCACACCAACACCAUGGUCAUUUAACCAACUUUUGGUGCUUUUGGCAGUGUGGGCAGGUGCCAAAUCUUGCUGGAAAAUGAAAUCAGCAUCUUCAAAAAGCUGGUCAGCAGAAGGAAGCAUGAAGUGCUCCAAAAUUCCUUGGUAAACGGGUGCAGUGACUUUGGUUUUCAAAAAACACAAUGGACCAACACCAGCAGAUGACAUUGCACCCCAAAUCAUCACAGACUGUGGAAACUUAACACUGGACUUCAAGCAACUUGGGCUAUGAGCUUCUCUACCCUUCCUCUAGACUCAAGGACCUCCAGAUGAAAUACAAAACUUGCUCUCAUCUGAAAAGAGAACUUUGGACCACUGGGCAACAGUCCAGUUCUUCUUCUCCUUAGCCCAGGUAAGACGCCUCGGGAGUGGCUUAACAAGAUGAAUAUGACAACUGUAGCCAAAUUCCUUGACACGUCUGUGUGUGGUGGCUCUUGAUGCCUUGAACCCAGCCUCAGUCCAUUCUUUGUGAAGUUCACUCAGAUUCUUGAAUCGAUUUUGCUCGACAGUCCUCAAAAGGCUCAAAAGGCAAAAGGUUAUCUCGGUUGGUUGUGCAUCUUUUUCUUCCACACUUUUUCCUUCCACUCAACUUUCUGUUAACAUGCUUGGAUACAGCACUCUGUGAACAGCCAGCUUCUUUGGCAAUGAAUGUUUGUGGCUUACCCUCCUUGUGAAGCGUGUCAGUGAUUUUCUUCUGGACAACUGUCAGAUCAGCAGUCUUCCCCAUGAUUGUGUAGCCUAGUGAACCAAACUGAGACACCAUUUUGAAGGCUCAGGAAACCUCUGCAGGUGUUUUGAGUUGAUUAGCUGAUUGGCAUGUCACCAUAUUCUAAUUUGUUGAGAUAGUGAAUUGGUGGGUUUUUGUUAAAUGUGAGCCAAAAUCAUCACAAUUAAAAGAACCAAAGACUUAAACUACUACUUUUUGUGCAUUGAAUUUAUUUAAUACACAAGUUUCACAAUUUGAGUUGAAUUACUGAAAUAAAUGAACUUUUCCUCGACAUUCUAAUUUGAGAAGCACCUGUAUAUAUAUUAUACACACACACACACACAUGCACACACAAAGAAAAACAAGUAGAUAGAACAGAAAAAAUUAGAAAGCUAGUGUUAGUUUUUUUUUUUUUAAUAAAAAAAGAAGAUAAUAGAUAAAGUAGAAUUAAAAUAGAAUAGAAAGUGCUAGAGUUAGAGGGUCAAAUAAAGAUGGAACAGAUGUGUUUUUAGUCGUUUCUUGAAGAUGGCUAAGGGCUCAGCUGCUCGGAUUGAGUUGGGCAGGUCAUUACACCAGGAGGGAUCAGUUAAUGAUAAAGUCAGUGAAAGUGAUUAUGUGCAUCUUUGAGAUGGCACAAUGAUACGCUGUUCACUUGCAGAACGCAAGUUUCUAGAGGGCACAUUACUCUGAAGUAAUGAAUUUAGGUCAAUGGUAAUUUAAGUAAAUUAUGAUUAUAGGAACUAAACUGUUUGGUUACCAAUAUUCUUUAAAGGGGUCAUAUGACUUUGCUAAAAAGAACAUUAUUUUGUAUAUUUGGUGUAAUGCAACAUGUUUAUGUGGUUUAAGGAAAAAAAAAAACAUUAUUUUCUACUG